GGAGCAUGUGGCUUAAUUUGACUCAACGCGGGAAAUCUUACCGGGUCCGGACACACUGAGGAUUGACAGGCAAUAUCUCAUGGUUAUUAACCCGGUUAUUACAUUUUGUUUAAUCGGUUAUUAAGCAUCGAGUGUUAAAUAUGCUAGUCCUUUCAUGAUUAUGUGAUAGGUGGUGCAUGGCCGUUCUUAGUUCGUGGAGUGAUCUGUCUGCUUAAUUGCGUUUCACUAAGGGCCCAUAAAUUCAAGGUAUGUUAGCUAUCGUCGCUCUAUGGACCCCUUAUACUCGAUUUCGCUUUAAUUAGCGUUAUUUGUUUAAUAAGCGCGCGUCUUUAUUUAAUGAGUUUAAGACACUGCGCAUGCUGUUGGGCUCUGAAAGCAACGAACGUGACCGCAACGUCUUGUUGCCUUAAUAAAGUUGGCUUUAAAUACAAUUCCCCGAAUUCGUAUUUAAACCGCUUACAGAGGCUAUUUAAAACUAGACGGACCGCUGUUUCUUUUCUUAAACCAGAGGAAGGUUGCGGCA
rnacentral:rRNA from 1 species